AAGUCGUAACAAGGUUUCCGUAGGUGAACCUGCGGAAGGAUCAUUAACACGUAUCCAAACGUAAAAAACCCCCCCCGUGAACAUUCAAUCCUGCUCUUGUAACCCGCGUAGUUCGCAAUCUCUGGUAAAUCAUAGCCCGGAAAGUAGUUUUGAUUCAGAGACCUCUGGCUACGUGAGAACAUUGUUUCCCCAAGCAGUUAGUGUCUGAAAGUGUCACUGAUUGUGCAAGGAUAGCGCUUCAACGAUUCCUGUAGACCGUACACUCGGGCAGGAGCUAUGCCAAAGGGUCCCCAUGCCCCCUUAUAACCCCACAGUUUAAUGUGAAGCUCAAUGUAAUACAUUGGGUAAAAAAACCGAACAACUGUUAACAAUGGAUAUCUUGGUUCUC
rnacentral:misc_RNA from 1 species